CCUGACUUAGGGUCAGUCCUUACCAUGAAGAACAUGUUGAAAGUGGGGAUGAGUCGUCCAAUUGGUAUGGACUUUGAUCUUGAUGAGGUAUUGAGGACUCUGCCAGGAGGAGAUGAGGGCCUUACCCUCGUUGAUGGGGCCGAGCUUGAUCUGGAAGGAGUCAUGGACUCCAUGCCUGACCAGGGGCAGGAGGGUGAGGUGGAUCC